GCUGGGCUGCACGGCUGCGAUGCCAACCAUUGCAGCGUGUCCUUGGACUAUUUCAACACACAGACCCGAGCUUCCAGUCUAGAUCCUGUUGCCCUUGCUUAGUGGCCUGAUGGAUUCCUGAAGAGAGGCGGCUCAGGUCACAAGUGGUCUGUGAUCUCACAGUAUGAGCGUCUUUCCUCAUGUUUUAGUCACAGAGAGGUCUGUGCAUGCAAUGGGUCUAAACCUUUCUGUGUACAGAAGUCUUCUGUGGAGCACUCUGAACUCAGAUUUCUGCACCCUGAAGCAUGACCUGACUUAAAGCAGUCCGUCGCUCAUCUAUUCCUAUGAUGGCAAAAGAUGCUUCCAGCAGAUAUAUGUGAGCAGACUUCCCCCAAUAUGUGUAACAGGUUUCCUUAAUAUCUCUCCCAAAAAAGCUUUUGGCUUUCAAAAGAAAAUGAGGCACAGGAACAGGUUGCCCAGAGAAGCUGUGGAUGCCCCAUGUCUGGAAGUGUUCAAGGCCAGGUAUUUCACAGAAAACCUGGUUUUGUCCACUGCUCUCAUCAGCCCUCCUUGACUGUGGAUCCAGGCUACAGCAGCAACCUGUUGGUUCAAAAACAGCAUUUCUACAGCUGGGAUUAAUUUAGAAAUCAGGCAAUGCUUUGCAUCUGUUUGUAUGACCCCCUCAGCCCUUUCAUUCUACUUCAGCUAUUGUCACAGCUGUCUUCUCCCUUCUCCUCCAAACUACAUUAUUCACUCACCUUGCUUCUCCACCUGGCUUGGUGUUGCAGUGCUGUCACACCUUUUCUUUACCAGCUCUGGAAAGAAAUGGUGUCAGCAGUGCCAGCACUGACACAUAAACCCAACUAGAAAAAGCAGAUAUUCUUCAGAAGUAGUCAGGAGUCUUGGGGUUAGCAAUGCCCAUUCACUUGUGUUCUGUGUGCUCAUGACUUAGCAGCCAGGAACCACUGCUCUGUGACAGCUGGGUCUGUGAUUCACUUCCAGCUAGGCUUUUGUUUUAGUCACAGUUAAUAGAUUUCCCUGUAGUGUUUGUAUUUUAGGAAUCACAUUAGCCCUUUAGUUGCCUGGAUGAGUUCAUUUAAUCAAAUCAUGUCUCUUUACAGCUGACACUUGUGGUCCUGACCCACCCUGUAUAGGGCCAGUGGCCUGCCUGACACUAAAAGCAGCCUGCUCUGCACCCUGAGCUGACAAGAAGAGUCAUCUUAAAGCUGUCACAAGACGAGGGGACUCCUCUAACAGAAAAGAUGGGUGUGAGCAUAGGAAAACACAGGUGAUGGUCUGUGAGCUCUAGGAGGAGCUGCAAAACAUGGAAGACCCAGCCAUGAUUAUGCAUCAGAUCCUAACAUCUUCUAGCUUUGACAUAAGGUAAGGUUGUAGAGGAAGGAUAGGAAGAAAGCAGUUACAUGUAUUUUGCACAAGUAGUAGCUGACGAUCUGUGUGGUCAGAAAAGGCAACACGACCUUGCACUUCAAAGGCAACCAGGAUAGACAUAAACCACCUUGGACUGCACCUCCAAACUUGAUAAGCCAUUUUGAUCAUUCUUGAAGUUCUCCUUCUCCUUCACCUGCAUAUUAACGUCGUGAUGAAAAGUGACAAGCUGCCUGAUGAAUGAAAGCAGAUGAGUGGAUCCCAAGAGAGCAGAAGGAAGAUGCCUGUUAACUUCCACGUCAACUUUUGGAGGCAAAAUCCCAUCAAAAAAAAAAAAAAAAGUGUUCAUUUCUAUCCAUUCAUAGAGGUAUUUUGAUGUUAUGGACAAAAUCAGACUACUGAUUUGCGGGGGUUUCAACCGAUUUAAUUUAUUGUCAAUGAACAAAGUUCUAACUAUCAGUUCUGGUACUGAGACAAAUAAAUGGACACACAGAGAAAGCAGUCUUUGCCUCUGCCAAGACUCUCUUCCCUACUUUCUUCUCCCCAGUCCCC